GCGGUUUUUUUCCUGCCUUGGGGCGGAAAUUUCCCUCCGCCGCCGCCGAGCAGCGGCUCUGCGGCGCCCUGACCCCGCGGGCGGCGCCCCCUUCCCCCCCGCGGCGCGGCCCUGAGGGCGCCGCCCCGCCCCGCCCCGCCCUCCCGCGCCCCUCAGCGCCCGCCGCCGCCCGCCGCCAUUUCCUCCUCGCCGCUGCCCGGGGGCGGCCGGCUGGGGCUGGGGGAGGGGGCGCGGGCGCGGGCGCGGCGUUCGCGGCGGAAUGGAGAUGCUGAGACGCUAGGAAGGGAAAAACGAAAAAAGGGGGUCCUGGCAAGCUUCGAAAGCGAAACAGGGGGUGUCAGCGAGCACCGCUGGUGGAUCCCCCCCAAAAAGCAGAACCGUGGUUCCCGUGAUCAACAACAAACUGAUUAGAGGCACCCUGUCAGCCCCAGAGCGCGUUUAUUUUUAAAUGAGUUAGCAUUAACUUCAGAUACCACAGCUGGCCCCGUUUCCUGUGCUUGCGGUGGCUCCUCACCCAGUGCUGGCUCUCCUGCUGCCUGAGACUCCCCGAAAUAACGUGGCUAAACCGAGCCGCCCAAGCAAAACAGGAAACGCGGCUGCGCAAAACGCUGGAAGAAGCAGGGGCGGAAAGGCAGCGCUUGCAAGCCUGAAAUUUAGCUAGAGCCGAGGGUACUUCUAGCCCCAUCAAGGCCGGCUGCCAGGGCGGGCGGGCAGGCCGUGGCCCUGCGAGCCGGGGUGGCUGUGGCUGCCGGGCCGCGGCCCCUGAGGGAGGCACCAGGCCGAGGCACCCGGCCGCGACAGGCCCAGCGGCUGCCUCGGGCGCCUCCGCGGCGGCCGGAGCCACAAGCCCAGAGUGCGCCCGGCUCUUAACCUCCUGCCCCCGGGGAGCAAAAUUCAAUUUCGCCUUCGUGUCUGAAAAAUCUGGAGCCAGCACUAAGGAGUAGAAAGACCCAGCAUCUGAAACUGUGUUUGAGUACAACUUUUCUUACCUUCUCUUCCUCCUGAAUUUGAUGGGAAGAAGCCUAAGUCACAUUCCUACCUCCCCGCAUCCGAGGAUCACACUGGCAUUAUGAACAAAGCAGGCCAGAGACUGGAGACCAGGCUGCAAAGGUUUCUCACUAACGAAGAUUCGCACCUAUUUCACUUGGCAAGUCGCAGUUGCUGAAGGAGGUGCUUCUGAGAGGACCACAAUACAUCCAUGCGUAAAAAAACAGGGACAGAGUAAUCAGAGCUUAUAUGAGAUGCAAUAUGCAGUCCUCCCUAUGCCAUUAAUGAGGAAAAUAAGGCAAAGAAAGCUCACCUUGUAUUUGUACAAGAGCUGGUACAUAAACUGCCACUGAAAAGUUUGCUCUUGUUCUCCUAGAAAACACCUCAGAUCUUAGACAUUGAAAGACCACAAGAGGACACUAUGGUGCCACUUAUCUUCUGGAUUUAUUUACUUCAAUUAACUUCCUCCCCUUCAGUUAAUUUGUAAAAACAGUCAUAGCUGAAUUUGAUAUGUGAAAUACUCAUAUUUUACAAAAGAUAGCUUAAUUUCAUCUUCAGGCCUGGAAAAUUACCAAGUCUCUAGGGUUUUGCUUUCAGUUUUUUCCUUUUAAUUCACACUCUGUAAACUCAGGUAAAAACUGGAUCAAAUUUUUCUCCACUAAACUUGUUAAAAAUUGCAGCAAUUUUCAAAGUAAAAUUAAGAUGCUGGAAAAAUACUACUCGUUGGGUUUCUUCUUUUUCUUUUAAUGAUCCAUUUUCAGUCUUUUUUAAAUGUUAGCAUUGAUAGAUUUGUCAUGGUCCAUUCAAUUUUUAACAAAGGACUCAGAGAAGAAACAGCAUAGGCAUAGGCGGGUUCUUUAGAUGUUCAGAGCUUAUCUGCAGGAGGAUACUCUGGAAAAUUAAUCCAAAUGGACUUUUCAAAGCUGUAUUAAACUCUUUUGCAAACGCUUGUAUUCCAGACCAAAGGGACCUUCAUUUGGUUUGUCUGACAAAACUUGUAUCACCUACAGUUUUGAUCUGAGAUAUUUUCAUUUUGUUUCUUGGCAAAACCCCCAGAAGAACUUUAAUUCUUGCUCCUUGGGUUCGAUGUUUUUUCCUUCAUUGCGGAACUGUAGACUCCACAGAUGAAGAAAUGCUUUAUGGAAAUAGCGAGACCAGCUUCUGAGAAAGAUGUUUUUCUCUGGAAGUCCUACCAGUUAAGUAGGAGGGAAAAUCUUCCCAGUGAAGCUUACAAAGCCAUACGGAAAGAAACAACAGAAAUGGAAUAAAAUCCAAGUGCCGUCUCCCUUAAGUUUUGAUAGUUAAGGCUCAAGCCUUAAUUAAAAGCAGCAGCAUUUCAUUUCUGUGAUGUAAGCUAAAUGCUGCACUUUGUUUAUCUAGCAUUUUUAACAAUUUGUUGGCUUCCCCAGUUACAGAUUUGUUUCAUGAUAGAAGUAGCUGAACCAAGGCUAAUAUCUCCUCUGAGGCCAUAGCUUUAGGGAAAUGGCACAUAGAAAGGGGUCAGUUGUUGAUUUUUCUUUGCAUGAGAAAAACCUUCACAGCUUGUAGUAGUUUCUCAAACAGUAUAGAAGAUGGGGAAAGAGUUGGUAAGAAGUGAAGCAGUCUGUGAACAACUUAUCCAGUAACACAAGGCCGAGUGAUUGAGAAAUUCCAGCUCAGUCACUGGAGAUCCUCAGCAUCUGUUAAAUACAGAACUGGGACAAGAAUGAUUCCCGUUUCUAUAGAUUUUGGGUUUUCUCUGGUAAAACUUACUGAAUGAUCUUAGCAACAUCAUAAAUAUAUAUGAAAAAGCUCUUACUUUUCUCUGGUUUCCAGGAAAAAAAAAUUAUAGAGGCACCAAACACCUACCAUCUUGAGCUGUUUUAUGUAGAUGUUAGGUUUGUAGAGAAAAGUAUCUGUUUCUUGAAGCAUUGACUUCCGAAAUUCCCAAGAUGGGUUAUUCAGCAUCACAGCUUGUCCUGAACAGAAGUCAAAGAUGAGCUAGCAUACUGCUGCGGGUCUGUGAACGGAA